rnacentral:rRNA from 1 species
AUUAUGGCUCAGGAUGAACGCUGGCGGCGUGCCUAACACAUGCAAGUCGAACGGGACUAUUGGAGAUGAUUCGGUCUGAUCCUUUAGUUAGUGGCGGACGGGUGAGUAACGCGUGGACAACCUGCCUUCACAGGGGGAUAGCAGCUGGAAACGGCUGGUAAUACCGCAUACGCUCAAUACACCGCAUGGUGUAAUGAGGAAAGAUUUAUCGGUGAAAGAUGGAUCCGCGUCUGAUUAGCCAGUUGGCGGGUAACGGCCCACCAAAGCGACGAUCAGUAGCCGGCCUGAGAGGGCGGACGGCCACAUUGGGACUGAGACACGGCCCAGACUCCUACGGGAGGCAGCAGUGGGGGAUAUUGCACAAUGGGCGCAAGCCUGAUGCAGCGACGCCCGCGUGAGUGAAGAAGUAUUUCGGUAUGUAAAGCUCUAUCAGCAGGGAAGAAAGGCCCUUUAAGGGAGAUGACGGUACCUGACUAAGAAGCCCCGGCUAACUACGUGCCAGCAGCCGC